rnacentral:rRNA from 1 species
UGCGUAGGCGGAUCAAUAAGUCAGUGGUGAAAUCUCUCGGCUCAACCGGGAAACUGCCAUUGAUACUGUUGAUCUUGAGUUCGGUUGAGGUAGGCGGAAUGUGUAAUGUAGCGGUGAAAUGCUUAGAUAUUACACAGAACACCAAUUGCGUAGGCAGCUUACCAGACCGACACUGACGCUGAGGCACGAAAGCGUGGGGAGCGAACAGGAUUAGAUACCCUGGUAGUCC